UACAGAGGGUGCAAGCGUUAAUCGGAAUUACUGGGCGUAAAGCGUGCGUAGACGGUUACAUAAGUCGGAUGUGAAAGCCCCGGGCUCAACCUGGGAAUGGCAUUCGAGACUGUGCAGCUAGGAUGCGGAAGAGGGAAGCGGAAUUUCCGGUGUAGCGGUGAAAUGCGUAGAUAUCGGAAGGAACACCAGUGGCGAAGGCGGCUUCCUGGCCUGUUCUUGACGCUGAGGCGCGAAAGCUAGGGUAGCAAACGGGG
rnacentral:rRNA from 1 species